rnacentral:rRNA from 1 species
CAGUCGCCGCGGGAAUACGUAGGUGGCAAGCGUUGUCCGGAAUUAUUGGGCGUAAAGGGCUCGCAGGCGGUUUCUUAAGUCUGAUGUGAAAGCCCCCGGCUCAACCGGGGAGGGUCAUUGGAAACUGGGAAACUUGAGUGCAGAAGAGGAGAGUGGAAUUCCACGUGUGGCGGUGAAAUGCGUAGAGAUGUGGAGGAACACCAGUGGCGAAGGCGACUCUCUGGUCUGUAACUGACGCUGAGGAGCGAAAGCGUGGGGAGCGAACAGGAUUAGAUACCCCCGUAGUCCCUGUCUCUUAUAC